GGUCUUUUUAUUUAAAGCAGAUGAUGGAUGCCUUGGGGCAAUUGAGCCGAAGAAGGACGUAUGAGCCUGCGAUAAGCCUCGGUGAGCUGGCAAAAAGCGUUACCAGCCGGGGAUUUCCGAAUGGGGAAACCCAAUCUUUUAGAUUGCACUUAAGCCAAGUUCCUGCCUUUUGGCGGGAUAUUAACUUAAUGUGAGGGAACCUAGCGAAGUGAAACAUCUCAGUAGCUAGUGGAAAAGAAAACGACGCGACUUAAAUUCCUAAGGUUUGCCGCCUUUUGGCGGUGGAUCUUGGGAAGGAAAGUCGCACCAUUUCCUAAGUAGCGGCGAGCGAAAGGGAAAAAGCCCAAACCUCUGAUUCGUCAGAGGGGUUGUAGGACCGGCAUAAAGAAAAACAAGGAUAAGAGAACGUUCUGGAAAGAACGGCCCGAGAAGGUGAUAGCCCUGUAGCUGAAAUUUAAGUUUUUCUGGCUGGUAUCCUGAGUACCACGGGAUAGGCGUAAGCCUGUGGGAAGCUACCCAAACCACUGGGUAAGGCUAAAUACUCAUUGCCACCGAUAGUGAACUAGUACCGUGAGGGAAAGGUGAAAAGCACCCCGGUUAGGGGAAUGAAAUAGUAUCUGAAAUCAUCUGCUGACAAGCAGACGGAGCUGGAUCGCAAGAUUUGGUGACGUCGUGCCUAUUGAAGAAUGAGCUGAGGAGUGAUCGUGCGCAGCAAGGUUAAGGGAAUAAAACCCCGGAGCCGUAGCGAAAGCUAGUCCUAAUUGGGCGAAUAGUUGCCCGCGAUCGACCCGAAGCCUGGUGAGCUAACCAUGAGCAGGUUGAACCCCGCCGAGAGGCGGGGGGAGGACCGAACCGUUGUAUGUUGCAAAAUGCUCGGAUGACUUGUGGUUAGGGGCAAUAUACCAAUCGAACCAGGUGAUAGCUGGCUCUCCUCGAAAUGUAUUUAGGUACAGCCUUUUAGAGUAGCCGCGGGGGUAGAGCUACUGGAAGGGAUGUGAAGCCCGAGAGGGUAUUCCUCCCUACCAAACUCCGAAUACCGCGUGUGUAAUCUAAAGGAGUGAGCAGGCGGGAGCAAGUUCCGUCGUGCAAAAGGGAAACAGCCCAGACCAUCAGUUAAGGUCCCUAAGUUGGAUUUAAGUGGGAAAGGUAGUGAAGUGACUCAGACACCCAGAAGGUAGGCUCAGAAGCAGCCAUCCUUGAAAGAGUGCGUAACAGCUCACUGGCUAAGUCAUUUUGCGCCGAAAAUGUAACGGGGCUCAAAAUCCACACCGAAGCUAUGGACUCGCCGCAAGGCGAGUGGUAGAGGAGCGUUCCGGCAGCAGCGAAGCCGACUCGUAAGAGGCGGUGGAGCGGCCGGAAGUGAGAAUCUCAGCAUGAGUAGCGUAUUUGGCGGUGAGAAUCCGCCACGCCGUAAGUUCAAGGUUUCCUCCGCAAUGCUCGUCAUCGGAGGGUUAGUCGGUCCUAAGGCGAGGCCGAAAGGCGUAGUCGAUGGACAGCUGGUCAAUAUUCCAGCACUUCUUCUUAAGUUUGAUGGGGUAACGUUUGCCAAAGUUGGGAGCGCUCGUAUGGUUGGGCGUUCUUGAGCCAAGGCGUCCGGUCGGCAAAUCCGCCGGGCAUAAACCAAGGCAAAAAGGAGAGUUGCGCAAGCAACAAUUCCUGAGGCUGGUGAACCAAGAAAAACCUCUAAAUUACCUUAAGAAGAAUCCGUACCGCAAACCGACACAGGUGAACUAGUUGAGUAGACUAAGGCGUUCGAGAAAACCUUCCUUGAUGAAUUAGGCAAGUUGACCCCGUAAGUUCGCGAGAAGGGGUGCCUUACCUUCGGGUAAGGCCACAGCAACAAGGCUCAAGCGACUGUUUAACAAAAACACAGGUCUCCGCUCAACCCGUAAGGGGAUGUAUGGGGGCCGACGCUUGCCCAGUGCCAGUAGGUUAAGGGGAGGGCUGAGGUAUGAAAGUACUGAGGCUCAAACUUAAGCCCUGGUGAACGGCAGCAGUAACUAUAACUGUUCUAAGGUGGAAUGCGCGCUGCCUUAGUAAAAUUCGGCUAUAUGCUGGAACGUCUGGAGAAUCCUAAGCUACUUAUGGUAAGAAUAUACCUUAGAUGGAAAAUUCUUCCAAAAGUGAAAAUGCUUUAGGUGCAGAUAAUCAGCAGGAAAGGCCAAAAAUUAUUGGUUGGGUCGCUGGUUUUGUCGAUGGAGAAGGAACAUUUUCUGUUUCUGUCUUCAGAAAUAAAACCUCUAAGUUUGGUUGGCAAGUUUUUCCUGAGUUUAUCGUGACUCAAGGGGAGAAAAGCCUUCCGGCUUUGGAAUUUUUACAGAAUUUCUUCGGUUGUGGAAAAAUUUUCAUCAACCGCAGAAAAGAUAAUCAUAAAGAAGAUAUUUAUCGCUAUUGCGUAAGAUCUGUUAAAGAUCUGCAAUCGAUAAUUAUCCCCUUCUUUGAGAUUAACCAAUUAAAAACUGCAAAAAGAAACGACUUUAGAUAUUUCCGUCAAAUUCUAGAAAUGAUCGGCAAAAGGAAACACCUCGAUCCGCAAGGAUUGAGAACGAUUGCUUUGAUCACAAAAGGGAUGAAUGACGGAGGAGCAACCACAUUUUUGGAAUCCUCACACACUAUACGCCGGACUCCGAUUAAGUCGGGGAAGAGAUAGUGGCGUCUGCAUGGCGACAUGCAGUGGUUACUUUAAAAAAUUAAGGUAACUUGAACUCUGUUUUAUCAGAGAAAGAUUGACAAGCGAAGUUCCUUGUCGGGUGGACUGGAAUCGCCCGAAUAUCGUGGCAACAUGAUACAAGCAAAUUGGCUUAUAUCGGUGAAAGCUAAAACUUUAAAAGUCAUGCUAAUACCGAGGGAAGUCUUCCGUUUAAUUAUGGAAUGACCCCGUAACGACUGAGCUGAAAAGCGAGGUUCGGCUUAAUGCCGAACAACACGCCAACCCUUGCGAUUGAGCGUAAGUAAGUUAUGGAGUCGCGAAACUCCUAAAACUUAUUGCAAGGUGAAGAUAUAGUCUGAUUCGUAUGUGAAAGCGUACGACGAUAAAUGAAGUUCCGACCCGCAUGAAAAGCGUAACGACUUGAGCACUCUAUUAAGGAAGGACUCGGCGAAGUUGAAAUGGCCGUGAAGAUGCGGCCUACCCACAGCAGGACAAAAAGACCCCGUGGAGCUUUACUGUAGAGCUUUACAUUGAUUUGACUAUUGGACCCGUGUAGCGUAGGAGGGAGCCUUCGGGCGCCAAUGAAACACCUCUCGGUUUGAUAUUCAAGUCUCACGUCGUGCCGUAAUCCGGCCGGCGGACAGUGUAUGGUGGGCAGUUUGACUGGGGCGGUCGCCUCGCAAAAAGUAACCGAGGCGCCCCAAGGUCGGCUUGGUCCCGAUGGACACGGGACUGUAAGUGCAAAGGCAGAAGCCGGCUUGACUGCAAGACUGACAGGUCGCGCAGGUGCGAAAGCAGGGCUUAGUGACCUACCGUCGCCAAGUGGCGGGGACGGUAACAACGGAUAAAAGCUACCCCGGGGAUAACAGGCUAGUCUCUCCCAAGAGUCCAUAUCGACGGGGAGGUUCGGCACCUCGAUUAAUCAGCCGGAUGUCGAGGUUUUAAAGCAGCUCAUAACGGUGGAAGCCGUGUGCAAUACCCAGCUUAAGUUUUAAGCAACAAGCACAUGGUCAAUACCGUGGGAAGUCGGUCUGAUUUUCAGACUUGACCCC
rnacentral:rRNA from 1 species